CCGCCGGGGGCAGGCGGCCCGCAGAGCCCGGGUCCGGCUCACCCUGACGGGGACGCGCGGGGACUCCCCGCCAGAGGCCGGCCCGAGGGCUGUGUUGCUCUUUUGCCUGUUGGGAUCACUACGGUGCCAAGGAAAGAGGAAACCUUGAAGAGGUUGCAAUUUGUGCAAAAUGAAUCACAGCACCACAUCAGACUGUGAUGUCAACAGAAGAUCCUGGUAGUUUCUGCAGAGUGUGUUGUAGAUGUAUGGCUCUUACUUCUCAGAAGGGUCCAAGCCCUCCAUGGCCUGUAGUUGGUGCUGGACUGCAACAAAAUGUCUGUGAGCCAUGCAAGAGCCAAGCUGAGACUUUCCUUCCACUGUGCAGAGGAAUGAUAUCACCCCACCUUUGGCUGCAUGCAUCACUUUUACUCAAGACUAGCAUCUCACAUGAUUUACAAGAACAUAAGACAGUGAGUGGUCGACUGAGAUAGAUAGAUAGAUGUAUUAAGCUAACAAUGUUUUCCAGAUGAAGUUGACAGUACAGUUUCCCGAAAAAUACAAGUUGAAUAUAAGCUGUAUUUGAAUUUAAUAGAAUCAAUAAUAUAUGAAAGAGGAACUUUAGAAUAGCUUUGUUAGUAUUUUUUAACUUUAGUCAGAGGAAGUGAAUUCUCACUUCCCCUUCCAUUGAAUAACUCAAGUUUCUACAUUGUACAGUUGCAAUGUACAGUUCAUAUUAUUUUUAGAAUAUGAUUAUAAUUAAUAUAUUAAAUACUGUCAUAUUUUCUUUAUAUGAUAGCUUGAAUGUCCAGUUGUCAAAAAACAUUUGUAUUCUUGACCAGUGACACAACCUUCCACUGGCUACAAUAGGGCUUCCUGUGACAGCAAAGAAAAACAAGCUUUCACUCAUCAGCAGAAGUCACAAUCAUUCAACAGCUAAAGUGUAUCAGCCAGAAAAAAAUGCUUUACUAGUCUUUGGUGUUCCUGGGGAUGAGGGUUCCCAUGUACUAGCUAUGUCAGUAGUAAUAUGAGAGCUGUUGCAGGACACACUAAGGCAGGAUGUGGCUUUGGUUUUCUCGGUGAAUUUUUUUGCAGGAAGUAUUUCAAAUAGCGUAGUUUACCUUUGAAAAAAAAAAAAAAGUUUCUUCUAGUUUAAAAAUGUGAUAGGCAUGAUAGACCCUUUGGUUGGUAUUUUUUCUCUGAAGGUGAGAAGAUUAUUUUCUCAAAUAGGCUUAAAUAGCUUGAAGCUCUUAACCAAUUUUGUCCAGGACCUUCUGGAAAAGGGAGCUGGAGUCUGUACAUUGGGCUCUCGUACAUUGGAGCCCCUAGUGGACAAGGACCAGAAGCUGUCAACCUGCAAAUGAGCACCUGUUCUCCUUAAAGUUACUGACCAAUGUGAAGAGAGACACUAGAAAGACUGCAGAUGUAUUUCAUUCAGCCUCGAGACUGAAUGGUGAUUUUUUCAGCAUUAGUAAAAUACAGGAAGAAUAAUCUUAACAGAAUCCAGCAACUGAAGCAACAUGUAAAGCUGCCCAUUUUUUCCUACCUCCAUAUUGACAAGGAAGAGGCUUGGAAGUAGAUGUUAGAUCUCUUAUUCUGAUCUUGUUUAUAGCACAAAUCAGAAACCUCUACACAAAUGCACUCUACUAACCCAAAUAUGUUUUUUGUUCUAGAAAAAAUAAAAACAUUUGAAGACUUCUAAAGGUAAAGAAUCUAAACAUGCACCCAACUAGCUCCAGAUUUUUUUCCUACUUUGGUUUUCUACAUGAAAUACUUACACCAUUUAUAACUCUGUGUGCUUUACCAUUGAUUUUAGUGUAUCCAGAACUUUUUCCUCAUUUUUUUUUUUUCACUUGUGUUAGCUUUUAAAAAUGUUUUCUUUAACCACCAUCUUAUUUCCCUCAAGGCCCUUUGAUGUACCAAGAGUAGUUGCAACAUUUUAGUCCAACCUAUACCAUACUUACAAAUGUUUACCUUUGUAGGGGCCAUGGAGUUUUGGUAGGUGGUAACCUGCCAGUGAUUUAUUGUGUACGAAAUAUUUAACACAUAAGCAUACACAAAAUCAAAGCUUUAUUAAGGCAGAAAAAUAAAACUUUCAUGACUUAGAAAAUGCCAGAAUUAAGACUGCCUA